rnacentral:rRNA from 1 species
GUGCAGCAGGCGAGAAUUUUUCUCAAUGGGGGAAACCCUGAAGGAGCGACGCCGCGUGGAGGAUGAAGGUCUUCGGGUUGUAAACUCCUGUCAUUUGGGAACAAGUCGCUUACGUUAACUGCGUGAGCGUUGAUAGUACCAGAAGAGGAAGAGACGGCUAACUCUGUGCCAGCAGCCGCGGUAAUACAGAGGUCUCAAGCGUUGUUCGGAUUCAUUGGGCGUAAAGGGUGUGUAGGUGGCGCCGUAAGUCGGGUGUGAAAUCUCGGGGCUUAACUCCGAAACUGCAUUCGAUACUGCGGUGCUUGAGGACUGGAGAGGAGACUGGAAUUCAUGGUGUAGCAGUGAAAUGCGUAGAGAUCAUGAGGAAGACCAGUGGCGAAGGCGGGUCUCUGGACAGUUCCUGACACCGAGACACGAAGGCCAGGGGGAGCGAAACGGGAUUAGAUACCCCGGUAGU